GAGUCAUUGAGUGAGCAAACUCAUUGGCGUAAUGAAAGUAAAGUUACCUUCUGGUAAUGAUAUGUGAUGCCUCGUAAAAAAGGCAGCAGCAUAGUCCAAUCUAUUAAGCUUGCUUAAGGGUUGAGAUAGAGCAUAUGCGAUGAGACCCGAAAGAUGGUGAACUAUACCUGAACAGGAUGAAGUCAGAGGAAACUCUGAUGGAAGUCCGAAGCGGUUCUGACGUGCAAAUCGAUCGUCUGAUUUGGGUAUAGGGGCGAAAGACUAAUCGAACCAUC
rnacentral:rRNA from 1 species